rnacentral:ncRNA from 1 species
GUCUAAGUACACACGGCCGGUACAGUGAAACUGCGAAUGGCUCAUUAAAUCAGUUAUGGUUCCUUUGAUCGCUCCAACGUUACUUGGAUAACUGUGGCAAUUCUAGAGCUAAUACAUGCAGACGAGCGUAGACCUCAUGUGGCUGGAGUGUGUCAGCAGUUCCUGCAAGAGGAAGGCAUUGAUGCUAUGGACUGGCCCGCCCGUUCCUCGGACCUGAAUCCAAUUGAGCACAUCUGGGACAUCAUGUCUCACUCCAUCCACCAACGCCACGUUGCACCACAGACUGUCCAGGAGUUGACGGAUGCUUUAGUCCAGGUCUAGGAGGAG